AUCACCGGAAUCAGCCCGGUUA
rnacentral:misc_RNA from 1 species